rnacentral:misc_RNA from 1 species
AAAAUAAAAAAAUAAAAAAAAACUGUACUAAACCACAUGGAUUUGUGUGUUUAUGAAUUUAUGGCAGUUUUUGGAUUGGUGGGCCUCACCAAUCCAAUGGUGGCCAUGAAUUCAUGAAAGCACAAGUUCAAGUUGCCAAGACUUUUCCUUUAUUAAAAGUGAAUUAAAUAGUCCUUCACUUUUUAGUAAAAUGUACAAAUUACAAUUUAUUUCCUCAUCUCUUAACUAUAACAACUUUUUAGUCCCUUGCCUUUUUGAUGACCAAAAUUUCAGACUGCCAGCUUUGAACUUUUUUAGACAUUAAAAAGUUGUUUCAAUUGAAAACUCAAGGACUAAAAUAUUGUUCAAAAUAGAAACUUAGGGACAAUUACAUAUAUGAUUUCAGUGAAAGCACUAAUCUGUAAUGAAAUUAGAAGGUUAUAGACCAUUUUAUUCACCUUUUUAUUUAUUUAAAAAAAAGGGAUGCAAGUGAUGCAACAAGGCAUUGAUGAUGUGGUUCAUUUCAGGUUUUUAGUUGAACUGAAUAACGCUCACCCCCAGCCACUUUCACAUAGGAUUUCCACAAUCAAAUUGAAAUCAUAUUUGUUUCAAGGAGUAGUAUUUCAUGCCACAUCAACUUAAUUCUUAAAAUGAUAUUGAUCCCGUGACACUUGAUUAGCGUCCACAACAGUAACUUGAUAACAAUUUUGGAUGGAGAUCUAAUAGAGGAUAUAAUUAUAUUAUUAAUAAAAGCUUAUGAAUUAUAAUCUAACAAGUGCCAAAGUCCAUGAUUUAUCGUCAUUAGGCAUAAUAUUUAAGAAGAAAAUAAAAGGAAGAGAAACGAAUGGUCCUCUUACUGAUUCCAAAAGUUCAUUGACA